rnacentral:rRNA from 1 species
UAAGGAAUAUUGGUCAAUGGACGCAAGUCUGAACCAGCCAUGCCGCGUGGAGGAUGAAGGUCCUCUGGAUUGUAAACUUCUUUUAUCUGGGAAGAAAUCCAUUUUUCUAGAAUGGUUGACGGUACCAGAUGAAUAAGCACCGGCUAACUCCGUGCCAGCAGCCGCGGUAAUACGGAGGGUGCAAGCGUUAUCCGGAUUCACUGGGUUUAAAGGGUGCGUAGGUGGGUAAGUAAGUCAGUGGUGAAAUCUCCGGGCUUAACCCGGAAACUGCCAUUGAUACUAUUUGUCUUGAAUACUGUGGAGGUCAGCGGAAUAUGUCAUGUAGCGGUGAAAUGCUUAGAUAUGACAUAGAACACCAAUUGCGAAGGCAGCUGGCUACACAAAUAUUGACACUGAGGCACGAAAGCGUGGGGAUCAAACAGGAUUAGAUACCCUGGUAGUCCACGCCCUAAACUAUGGAUACUCGACAUUUG